UGAUUCUAGUGGAAUAUCCAUAUAACAUGACAAUAUAAGUAUUAAAAUGAUAAUUUAUAAAUGCUAUCAUUAGCCGAUAUGUAUUACUGACUGCUGAAUAUAUAGUUUCAAUGAUAGACCACGGUACUUUGGAAACCAUUAUUUGUUUUCUGUAUUAACAUUUACUGCUUACAAAAAACAAAAAAAAACAAACAAACAAACAAACAAACAAAAAAAACCUUCUUAGGAGCCAUUCACACACGUUUUUGCAUUCCACAGCUUUUUUCAUAAUUUUUCCAUGUAAACGAACUAGAUGGACGCCUUUGACCAUUGCAUCUUGGGUCUUUUGCAGCAUCUCACAGUUUAAAACAAACAAACAAACAAACAAAAACAAAUGCAAAUGACCCCUUUAGACUUACAUAUUAAGUCUUAGAUACCAUAAAAUAUGCAUAUAAAAAGCCACAAAUGCAGUUGUUUCAUCCAAAUAAGGACCACAGCUUUGCUAGUGCAUGCCUUUCAUAAAGUUAUCUAGGUUAAUUCCCAUUUUAUUCAAUACAAGAGGUCUAUAAUUUUAACAUUUAGGUGUGUUUUCUAUGCAGUGCGCAUCUGUAUUACAAUCUGAUGUAUGAAAAUCCACUUUGGUACAAGAAAAUGUCCAUCUAGCACUCUGCAACAAGCCACCACUCAAAGUCAGUGGUCCCAGGGGAAUCAGAUACCGUCAGCUCCAAUCCAGCUACACCAGGAUGCCAAUUACCUCUAGUGCAUACAGCUGUACAAAGACACAUAUCGAUCACACAGUUAAGAUGUCAGAUGUAGCCAGAGCUUCCCCUGGGGCUUCCGUUAAUGACUGUGUUUUUCUUGGACUGUUUAUUCAUUGGUUAGCGUCCCGGCAUGAGAACAUUGUGCAUGUUCAUUGAAAAUCAAAUUGGAUUGAGAGAGUCGGGAUAUUGAGAUCUGAUCAAAUCUCUCGGCAUGUUGCUCUUCUCAUUGAUCGGAUUCUCGAGCUGCUCGGACCGGAUGUCAUCCAAUUAGGAGGAGGAAAAACACAGAUUCUUUGGUGGCG
ensembl:lncRNA